GACGAACGCUGGCGGCGUGCUUAACACAUGCAAGUCGAACGGAAAGGCCCUGCUUUUGUGGGGUGCUCGAGUGGCGAACGGGUGAGUAACACGUGAGUAACCUGCCCUUGACUUUGGGAUAACUUCAGGAAACUGGGGCUAAUACCGGAUAGGAGCUCCUGCUGCAUGGUGGGGGUUGGAAAGUUUCGGCGGUUGGGGAUGGACUCGCGGCUUAUCAGCUUGUUGGUGGGGUAGUGGCUUACCAAGGCUUUGACGGGUAGCCGGCCUGAGAGGGUGACCGGCCACAUUGGGCCUGAGAUACGGCCCAGACUCCAACGGGAGGCAGCGGUGGGGAAUAUUGCACAGUGGGCGGAAGCCUGAUGCAGCAACGCCGCGUGCGGGAUGACGGCCUUCGGGUUGUAAACCGCUUUCGCCUGUGACGAAGCGGGAGUGACGGUAAUGGGUAAAGAAGCACCGGCUAACUACGUG
rnacentral:rRNA from 1 species